rnacentral:rRNA from 1 species
AGAGAGAGACAUGCGCGCAUAUCAAUAAGCGGAGGAAAAGAAACUAACUAGGAUUCCCUCAGUAACGGCGAGUGAAGCGGGAAGAGCUCAAAUUUGAAAUCUUCAAGGUUCUACCUUGACGAAUUGUAGUUUAAAGAAGUGUUUUCUGUUGAAGUUUUGGUAAAAGUUCUUUGGAAUAGGACAUCAUAGAGGGUGAGAAUCCCGUAUUUGACCAUUAUUUCCAGCUUUGUGAUACACUUUCAAAGAGUCGGAUUGUUUGGGAAUGCAGUCCAAAAUGGGUGGUAAAUUUCAUCUAAAGCUAAAUACUGGCGAGAGACCGAUAGCGAACAAGUACCGUGAGGGAAAGAUGAAAAGAACUUUGAAAAGAGAGUUAAACAGUACGUGAAAUUGUCAAAAGGGAAGCGUUUGACACCAGUGUUGUUUUCUCGAAAAUCAAUUAAAAAAGGCAGGAUUUUGUGUUGUAUUGACUUUAUCAGCUUUCUGCACUCUUUUCUUGUCUUUUUUUAAUGCACUUUUCGUUUAACAAGUCAACAUCAAUUUCUUUUGUUGUAAAAGGGUCAUUGGAAGGUGGCUUUCUUUUCGGAGAAAGUGUUUAUAGCCUUUGGCCUCUGCAAUCGGAGAGAUUGAGGUCUGCAGCGUAGAUCCUUCGGGGUUAGAUACAUUUGUGCUAAGUUAUAGCCUUUCAUAGACAACUUGUUGACUAUGAUCAGUCAUGUAGCUUACUCGCUUACUGCUAUUUUACCUACGCUUAGGAUGUUGAUGUGAUACUGCGAGCA